UAAAAUAAUUCACUUUUGAAUCACAAGGUAUAACUUUGAUUCAGAGUCCGGGCAAGCUCCCUUUCCCCAAAAACCAUAACCAUUGUGGUUUUAUACCCAGGAAGUUAAAUGCCCCCCAUUCAACUUCAACAAUAAACGCAAUGCUGGGGAACUUUGGGGAAAUGUUGGUAAUCAAAGACUAUUCAAAACCUAUUCAAAACCUAGGUUACCAGGGUAACCUGUCAACAAUUGUCCCACCAACCAAAACCAGACAGCUUUCAAUUCUGAACUGUCAAUGUGACGGUUUUUGUCCACAAGCUCAGACUUAUUCGGCGGCGACGCACUGUAUGAACAAGUUGUGACCAGCAAAGACCAAGACUUUUCUCAAAUUCAAGGUUCGAGACAAUACACCAACAAUGAUAUCCAAGAAGAGCCAAGUCCAUCCAAUAGAGGACCAACCUGACGUCCAGUCUGAGGACCAACCUGACGUCCAAUCUCAGAACCAAAAUGACACCCAAUCUGCGAACCUAUCUGACAAACAACAUGAGGACCAAAGGGAGGACCAACAAAAAAACCAUGUGAUAACCAGACCUCCUAAAAGUAAUAGCAACACAGCACAAACACACGACAACGAAGGGGCUGACAAGGGUCCCGAUGACGAGUGGAGUCUCUGUAAAUGUCUCAAUCUAGUUUUGCAACUCACAAAAUGUGCCAACCGAAUCAUGUCUCUCUGCUCAGGGGGAGAAGGCGGAGACGAAGGCGAAUAAUUGGAAAACGAUGGCACUGAUUGUUUAUCAAAUGGGAAAUUACCAUGGUCAUUUGUAAUAAGGGUUUGAAAGAGCGGAAGGAGGUCUUGAACAUUCGUUUAAAACCGGGCGGGUUAUGGCGGUGAAAUAAAGCACCGAGCCGAGGGCCACAUCCAUGGAAGAUUUAAUACAAAUCUUCAGGACCAAGUCACUGCUCACUUAUUUUAAACACUUGUAAUUUGUUCCCACUCACAUGAAGACUCUAUUUGUUGGAAAAUGAGUACGUUAGUACAAAAAAAUCAACUUGACUUUGGAGCCUCUUAAAAAGGAACACGUUGCCUCGGAUCGGUCGAGUUGGUCUUUGAAAACC